GAUGAACGCUGGCGGCGUGCCUAACACAUGCCAGUCGAGCGGCAGCGAGGGGUGCUUGCACCCUGUCGGCGAGCGGCGGACGGCUGAGUAACGCGUGGGAACGUGCCCCAAAGUGAGGAAUAACUGCCCGAAAGGGUAGCUAAUACCGCAUAUUAUCUUCGAAUCAAAGGAUUUAUCCGCUUUGGGAGCGGCUCGCGUCGGAUUAGGUAGUUGGUGAGGUAAUGGCUCACCAAGCCGACGAUCCGUAGCUGGUCUGAGAGGAUGACCAGCCAGACUGGAACUGAGACACGGUCCAGACUCCUACGGGAGGCAGCAGUGAGGAAUCUUCCACAAUGGGCGAAAGCCUGAUGGAGCAACGCCGCGUGCAGGACGAAGGCCUUCGGGUUGUAAACUGCUUUUAUAAGUGAGGAAUAUGACGGUAACUUAUGAAUAAGGAUCGGCUAACUACGUG
rnacentral:rRNA from 1 species